AAAUUGAAGAGUUUGAUCAUGGCUCAGAUUGAACGCUGGCGGCAGGCCUAACACAUGCAAGUCGAGCGGUAGCACAGAGAGCUUGCUCUCGGGUGACGAGCGGCGGACGGGUGAGUAAUGUCUGGGAAACUGCCUGAUGGAGGGGAUAACUACUGGAAACGGUAGCUAAUACCGCAUAACGUCGCAAGACCAAAGUGGGGGACCUUCGGGCCUCAUGCCAUCAGAUGUGCCCAGAUGGGAUUAGCUAGUAGGUGGGGUAACGGCUCACCUAGGCGACGAUCCCUAGCUGGUCUGAGAGGAUGACCAGCCACACUGGAACUGAGACACGGUCCAGACUCCUACGGGAGGCAGCAGUGGGGAAUAUUGCACAAUGGGCGCAAGCCUGAUGCAGCCAUGCCGCGUGUGUGAAGAAGGCCUUCGGGUUGUAAAGCACUUUCAGCGGGGAGGAAGGCGUUAAGGUUAAUAACCUUGGCGAUUGACGUUACCCGCAGAAGAAGCACCGGCUAACUCCGUGCCAGCAGCCGCGGUAAUACGGAGGGUGCAAGCGUUAAUCGGAAUUACUGGGCGUAAAGCGCACGCAGGCGGUCUGUCAAGUCGGAUGUGAAAUCCCCGGGCUCAACCUGGGAACUGCAUUCGAAACUGGCAGGCUAGAGUCUUGUAGAGGGGGGUAGAAUUCCAGGUGUAGCGGUGAAAUGCGUAGAGAUCUGGAGGAAUACCGGUGGCGAAGGCGGCCCCCUGGACAAAGACUGACGCUCAGGUGCGAAAGCGUGGGGAGCAAACAGGAUUAGAUACCCUGGUAGUCCACGCCGUAAACGAUGUCGAUUUGGAGGUUGUGCCCUUGAGGCGUGGCUUCCGGAGCUAACGCGUUAAAUCGACCGCCUGGGGAGUACGGCCGCAAGGUUAAAACUCAAAUGAAUUGACGGGGGCCCGCACAAGCGGUGGAGCAUGUGGUUUAAUUCGAUGCAACGCGAAGAACCUUACCUGGUCUUGACAUCCACAGAACUUUCCAGAGAUGGAUUGGUGCCUUCGGGAACUGUGAGACAGGUGCUGCAUGGCUGUCGUCAGCUCGUGUUGUGAAAUGUUGGGUUAAGUCCCGCAACGAGCGCAACCCUUAUCCUUUGUUGCCAGCGGUUCGGCCGGGAACUCAAAGGAGACUGCCAGUGAUAAACUGGAGGAAGGUGGGGAUGACGUCAAGUCAUCAUGGCCCUUACGACCAGGGCUACACACGUGCUACAAUGGCAUAUACAAAGAGAAGCGACCUCGCGAGAGCAAGCGGACCUCAUAAAGUAUGUCGUAGUCCGGAUUGGAGUCUGCAACUCGACUCCAUGAAGUCGGAAUCGCUAGUAAUCGUAGAUCAGAAUGCUACGGUGAAUACGUUCCCGGGCCUUGUACACACCGCCCGUCACACCAUGGGAGUGGGUUGCAAAAGAAGUAGGUAGCUUAACCUUCGGGAGGGCGCUUACCACUUUGUGAUUCAUGACUGGGGUGAAGUCGUAACAAGGUAACCGUAGGGGAACCUGCGGUUGGAUCACCUCCUUA
rnacentral:rRNA from 1 species